UUUGAUCAUGGCUCAGGAUGAACGCUAGCGGCAGGCUUAAUACAUGCAAGUCGAGGGGCAGCAUGACUGUAGCAAUACAGUUGAUGGCGACCGGCAAGCGGGUGCGGAACACGUACAGAACCUUCCUUCGAGCGGGGAAUAGCCCAGAGAAAUUUGGAUUAAUACCCCAUAGAACUAUGAAGUGGCAUCACUUUAUACUUAAAGAUUUAUCACUUGAAGAUGGCUGUGCGGCUGAUUAGGUAGUUGGCGGGGUAACGGCCCACCAAGCCUGCGAUCAGUAACUGGUGUGAGAGCACGACCAGUCACACGGGCACUGAGACACGGGCCCGACUCCUACGGGAGGCAGCAGUAAGGAAUAUUGGUCAAUGGACGAAAGUCUGAACCAGCCAUGCCGCGUGGAGGAUGAAGGCCCUCUGGGUUGUAAACUUCUUUUAUAUGGGACGAAAAAGGGUCUUUCUAGAUCAACUGACGGUACCAUGUGAAUAAGCACCGGCUAACUCCGUGCCAGCAGCCGCGGUAAUACGGAGGGUGCAAGCGUUAUCCGGAUUCACUGGGUUUAAAGGGUGCGUAGUGGGUUGGUAAGUCAGUGGUGAAAUCUCCAAGCUUAACUUGGAAACUGCCAUUGAUACUAUCAGUCUUGAAUAUUGUGGAGGUUAGCGGAAUAUGUCACGUAGCGGUGAAUGCUU
rnacentral:rRNA from 1 species